CCUGUAAUCUACUCCGUCCGGAAAUACUUAUCGUAGGAAUGCAUAAAUAUGGAUGUAUCUAGAACUAAAAUACAUCUAGAUACAUCCAUUUCGUCGACAAGUGUUUCCGGACGGAGGGAGUAUAAA
rfam:Triticum aestivum genome assembly, contig: Triticum_aestivum_CS42_TGACv1_scaffold_320794_4BL